CGGAUCGUAAACUUCUAUCAGCAGGGAAGAUAGUGACAGUACCUGACUAAGAAGCCCCGGCUAACUACGUGCCAGCAGCCGCGGUAAUACGUAGGGGGCAAGCGUUAUCCGGAUUUACUGGGUGUAAAGGGUGCGUAGGCGGCGAAGUAAGUCAGAUGUGAAAGCCCGAGGCUCAACCUCGGGACUGCAUUUGAAACUGCUUUGCUAGAGUGCAGGAGAGGAAAGUGGAAUUCCUAGUGUAG
rnacentral:rRNA from 1 species